GAAUCGCUAGUAAUCGUGGAUCAGAAUGCCACGGUGAAUACGUUCCCGGGCCUUGUACACACCGCCCGUCACACCAUGGGAGUGGGCUGCAAAAGAAGUAGGUAGUUUAACCUUCGGGAGGACGCUUACCACUUUGUGGUUCAUGACUGGGGUGAAGUCGUAACAAGGUAGCGCUAGGGGAACCUGGCGCUGGAUCACCUCCUUA
rnacentral:rRNA from 1 species